AAUUUGAAAUCUGGCCCCUCCGGGGUCCGAGUUGUAAUUUGUAGAGAGUGCUUCGGGUGAGACCGCGGUCUAAGUCCAUUGGAACAUGGCGUCCCAGAGGGUGAGAAUCCCGUAUGUGACUGCGGCUCGAGCCCAUGUGAAGCCUCUUCGACGAGUCGAGUUGUUUGGGAAUGCAGCUCUAAAUGGGUGGUAAAUUUCAUCUAAAGCUAAAUACUGGCUGGAGACCGAUAGCGCACAAGUAGAGUGAUCGAAAGAUGAAAAGCACUUUGGAAAGAGAGUUAAACAGUACGUGAAAUUGUUGAAAAGGAAGCGCUUGCAACCAGACCUGUCCGUAGGCGAUCACCCGUUGUUCUCAGCGGUGCACUCGUUCUGCGAUCAGGCCAGCAUCGGUUCGGGCGGCCGGAUAAAGGCCUUGGGAAUGUAGCUCUCCUUCGGGGGAGUCUUAUAGCCCUCGGUGCAAUGCGGCCAGCCGGGACCGAGGACCGCGCUUCGGCUAGGAUGCUGGCGUAAUGGUUGUAAGCGACCC
rnacentral:rRNA from 1 species